rnacentral:snRNA from 1 species
GUGCGCACUUCAGCAGCACAUAUACUAAAAUUGGAACGAUACAGAAAAGAUUAGCAUACCCCCUACUAGGCCUGGCUGGGUGUGGUGGCUCAUACUUGU